UUAGAAAGUCAAUAUAGAUACUACAUCCUAUUGUCACCACCAUUGAAAUACAUUUGGGAAUCUUAAGAUCAAGGAGGAGAUUGUGGUUAUAAAUGUCUGAUGGCAUCUCUACAUCUCAGGUGAAGCAUGGAGGAUUUCACAGAUGAAGUGAGUGAUACCUGAAUAGCUAUUGGAGAAUAUGUAAAAGGUGAGAAACAGAGCAUGAAUCUGAAGAAGUCAUACAAACGUGAGAAAGAAGUUGAGAAAGAGAUUUUCCUGCGUAAGAAAAUGCUGUGUUUGAAAAGUCUGUUGAAAGGUUUUUUUAGAUCUUUCCUGAUUACGAAUCCAGUCUGCUAAUGUGAAGAAGCCUGGACAAAUUUAGAGAACUGCCCCACUGAAACUAACUGUGGUGAUCAUCAAGAAAUGAAGAUUGAACCUCAAAAAGAUACUACAGAAUUCAUCUUUGUGAAUUUGGGGCUCUAGUGGAUAAUUAAUGGUUCCUGAUUGAGAUUAAUUCAAGGACAAUUGAAUGAAUAUCGCAGACCUCUUGACUCACUUAAGAGUUCAUAAACAAAUACGCAAAUUGGAGAGCGGUAGCAUUUUGAUAAAUAUUAUCCAGCUUUUUUAUAAGAUGUUAAGAGUCUCCAGAAAUAAAAAGCAGCAA
rnacentral:lncRNA from 10 species